UCGUGACCCUGACCAAAACAGACCGAGCACGCGUUAUCUAUUCCUGNUGAGUGGCGGCACCGUCGUCGCUCAGCCAAAUCCUCGAUAACCUCCUCUCCUUGGAGUGGGGGCUUGGGGUAAAAGAACCCACGGCGCCGAAGGCGUCAAGGAACACUGUGCCUAGCUUGGGGACACGACUGGCUUGCUGGCCGCUCCCCUUGCUGCAAAGCUAUUUAAUCC
rnacentral:rRNA from 1 species